UGGUCGCAUUCCGGGCGCCGAACCGGUUCCCACUUCGCCUGAAUGCGACAAGCGGCUGAGAUUGAGCAUCCCGCUCUGACCCGUAGAACCUGAACCGGUUAGCACCGGCGGAGGGAGGAGCGCUUUAUGAAUA
rnacentral:ncRNA from 2 species